UACGUAGGGUGCGAGCGUUAAUCGGAAUUACUGGGCGUAAAGCGUGCGCAGGCGGCUUUGCAAGACAGAUGUGAAAUCCCCGGGCUCAACCUGGGAACUGCAUUUGUGACUGCAAGGCUAGAGUACGGCAGAGGGGGAUGGAAUUCCGCGUGUAGCAGUGAAAUGCGUAGAUAUGCGGAAGAACACCAAUGGCGAAGGCAAUCCCCUGGGCCUGUACUGACGCUCAUGCACGAAAGCGUGGGGAGCAAACAGG
rnacentral:rRNA from 1 species